rfam:Ipomoea nil DNA, scaffold: scaffold2165, cultivar: Tokyo-kokei standard.
GCUCUAGUAGCUCAGUUGGUUAGAGCACCCGUUUAGUAAGUGGGAGGUCUUGAGUAGAACUCUCAAUAAGAGCA